rnacentral:rRNA from 1 species
UACAGAGGUGGCAAGCGUUGUUCGGAAUUAUUGGGCGUAAAGAGCUUGUAGGCGGUCUGUCGCGUCUGCUGUGAAAAUCCGGGGCUCAACCCCGGACUUGCAGUGGGUACGGGCAGACUAGAGUGUGGUAGGGGAGACUGGAAUUCCUGGUGUAGCGGUGGAAUGCGCAGAUAUCAGGAGGAACACCGGUGGCGAAGGCGGGUCUCUGGGCCGAUACUGACGCUGAGGAGCGAAAGCGUGGGGAGCGAACAGG